GAUGAAGAACGCAGCGAAAUGCGAUAAGUAAUGUGAAUUGCAGAAUUCAGGGAAUCAUCGAAUCUUUGAACGCACAUUGCGCCCGUCAGUAUUCUGGCGGGCAUGCCUGUUCGAGCGUCAUUACGCCCCUCAAGUCCCCUGUGGACUUGGUGUUGGGGAUCGGCGAGGCUGGUUUUCCAGCACAGCCGUCCCUUAAAUUAAUUGGCGGUCUCGCCGUGGCCCUCCUCUGCGCAGUAGUAAAACACUCGCAACAGGAGCCCGGCGCGGUCCACUGCCGUAAAACCCCCCAACUUUUUAUAGUUGACCUCGAAUCAGGUAGGACUACCCGCUGAACUUAAGCAUAUCAAUAAGCUGAGGA
rnacentral:misc_RNA from 1 species